rnacentral:lncRNA from 1 species
CAAUUGACAACUGAAACACGGCCUUUUGUCACUAUCACGUCACGUGCAGAGUGAAACAUACGAAGGAUUUUGUUAAUGUACAUAAUAUUUUUAUUAUAAUUUAAGUCCUUUUCAGAAAAAAUAUAUUUUUAUUAUAAUAUAAAAUUCAAGUUUCGAAAGCAAAACAGAAUAUGAAAGGCAUGCAAAAGGUAGUAAUCAUUCACCAAUAAUUGUGACAUAUACCCACUCACUCUUACUCCUCAUCUAAACUAUAAAUGUUAUCACAUGGUAG